AUGCUUACCUGGCAGGGGAGACACGACAAUCAUGAAGGUGAUUUCCUCAGGGUAAGGCUCAUCUAUUGCACUCCAAAUGUGCUGACCUCUGAGAUGUCCUAAAAUGCAGGAAACUCAACUGCAUAAUUUGUGGUAGUAGAGGACUACAUUCACACUCUCCCCUG
rnacentral:snRNA from 1 species